GAAUUUCCAUUAUAUAUGAUGUACAUGAGCAAUACUAGGGAACCAAAAGGGUAUUAGCCAAAAAUCAGCCAAAAUACUUUUGGUGAAUUCAAAAUUUAUACGAAUUAAUAUAUAUGGAUGUUUCUUCUGCUAAAUAUCAGAAUGUUUUUUUUU